rnacentral:rRNA from 1 species
CACGUAGGGCGCAAGCGUUGUCCGGAAUUAUUGGGCGUAAAGAGCUCGUAGGCGGUUUGUUGCGUCGGCUGUGAAAUCCCGAGGCUCAACCUCGGGUCUGCAGUCGAUACGAGCAAACUAGAGUGUUGCAGGGGAGACUGGAAUUCCUGGUGUAGCGGUGAAAUGCGCAGAUAUCAGGAGGGAACACCGGUGGCGAAGGCGGGUCUCUGGACAGUUCCUGACACUGAGG